GAUGAACGCUGGCGGCGUGCCUAAUACAUGCAAGUCGAGCGAACAGACGAGGAGCUUGCUCCUCUGACGUUAGCGGCGGACGGGUGAGUAACACGUGGAUAACCUACCUAUAAGACUGGGAUAACUUCGGGAAACCGGAGCUAAUACCGGAUAAUAUAUUGAACCGCAUGGUUCAAUAGUGAAAGACGGUUUUGCUGUCACUUAUAGAUGGAUCCGCGCCGCAUUAGCUAGUUGGUAAGGUAACGGGUUACCAAGGCAACGAUGCGUAGCCGACCUGAGAGAGUGAUCGGCCACACUGGAACUGAGACACGGUCCAGACUCCUGCGGGAGGCAGCAGUAGGGAAUCUUCCGCAAUGGGCGAAAGCCUGACGGAGCAACGCCGCGUGAGUGAUGAAGGUCUUCGGAUCGUAAAACUCUGUUAUUAGGGAAGAACAAAUGUGUAAGUAACUAUGCACGUCUUGACGGUACCUAAUCAGAAAGCCACGGCUAACUACGUG
rnacentral:rRNA from 1 species